CACGUAGGGGGCGAGCGUUGUCCGGAUUUAUUGGGCGUAAAGAGCGUGUAGGCGGCCAGGUAGGUCUGCUGUGAAAACUCGAGGCUCAACCUCGAGAUGUCGGCGGAAACCAUCUGGCUAGAGUCCGGAAGAGGAAAGUGGAAUUCCUGGUGUAGCGGUGAAAUGCGCAGAUAUCAGGAAGAACACCCGUGGCGAAGGCGGCUUUCUGGGACGGUACUGACGCUGAGACGCGAAAGCGUGGGGAGCGAACAGG
rnacentral:rRNA from 1 species